ensembl:lncRNA meiotic kinetochore factor
CAUGGAGCGGGGCCGCAGGGUCCGCGGCCCCUGCCCCGGGAAAGCACCGUGGAAGAAGCGCCGGGCCUCCCCUCUGCCGGGGGCGGCCGCUCUCCCGGGCAGCCGCGCCGGUGUCUCCCAGAUGUGCCGGCGGCGCCUGUUCGGGAGCACGGAGCCUCGCGGGCCUGAGCCUGCCUGCCUGCAGAAAAAGUUCAGUGGGAAAAAUCUACCAAAAAUUAAAGAAAACGUUGAAUAUACUGAAGAGAGCUCUUCAUGCAAGCAAAGUAAUCAGGUGACUGUCAGAGAAACAACAGAUUUCAAGAUAAAAGAAAAGGAACAAGAAGAAAGAAGUGUACCACUGAAGGAAUCCAAAAUAAUCAACUUUGAAAGUAAAGGAUGUUUGAAAAACGCUGAAGUGACGUCAAGUACAGAAAUUACUCUUCCCACAGGUGUUUCCACCUUUCUGAUAGAUUGUUUAGAUGAAGAUUCAGCUGCAGAUUAUAGCACUGCUAGCAACAGCCUGAAGACUUAUUCAUCCCCUGAAACAUUCAGAAAUGACAGCCUGAAGACUUAUUCAUCCCCUGAAGCAUUCAGAGAUGAUGAUUUGGGUGACACUUUUGGAAAGAGGCAAUUUUUACUCCAUGGACCUUGGCAAGUACAAGAACUCUACUCUCCUGGACUCCAGCAAAGCAGUGACCAUAGAUAA